rfam:Ovis aries breed Texel chromosome 4, whole genome shotgun sequence.
UCUCUGGUUGCUCAGAGGAUAAAGCGUCUGCCUGCAAUGCAGGAGGCCCGGGUUCGAUCCCUGGGUUGGGAA